AUGGGCACCAGGUCCUUCUUUACCGACUCCGAGAUUCAGUCCGACCCUGAGCUAUCGGAGCUGAUAGGGGAGAUCCUCUCCCUGAAGAGCGAGCGCAGAGACUUGAUUGGGUCUCUUACUCCGGGGAUUUCUCGCUGGGUGGAUGAGAUCUCUCGAGCAGCAACGUCGUCCGUCCGGGGCAAUGUCGACUGCAAAGAGCCCUUCGGCAUCUUGGAGGAUGUCGAGGAUUUGGGCCAGCGGAUGCUGUCCAUGUCCCAUUUUCUUUCCUGUUCCAAUUCCCGCAUCCCCUUGUACAAGGCCGACGAGCUGGUUAGCACAUCAUCCAAAUUAAUGAAGAUCUCCAAGGAUUUCUGCGAAUCUACAGAGCAGGCAAUGGAUAAGGCCGUGUCGGAGGCGGCAGAGGCAGAGGACAAGAGGAAGGAGGAGGAGAGGAAGGAGGACAAGAAGAAGAGGGAUAGGAUGAGGAAGAAGGAGAAGAAGAAGAAGCAACAGCAGAAGGAGAAGGAUGAGGAGGACAAGGAGAAGAGGGCUAUCAUGAGGAAGAAGGAGAAGGAGAGGAAGAAGAAGAAAAAGCAGCAGCAGCAGCAGCAGGAGGAUGAUGCACAAGUUAUUACAUCUGAGAAGAUCACCGAGAAGAUGGAAAGAAGGGAGGAGGAAGAGGACGAGGACGAGGAGGAGACGAGGAGGCAACAGGAGGUGAGGAAGAUCAUGGCUGCCAAUGAAUUCUUGCGUCUCUCCUCCAAUGUCCUGGCGAGACCCUUGUGUUACAGAAAUGAGUUGGCGAUGAUGAUUACAGAGGAGGAUGAGCAGGAGUAUGAGAGGGCGAUGGAGGCGGAGAGGCAGGCAGCGAUGGAGGCGGAGAGGCAGGCAGCGAUGGAGGCGGAGGAGGCCAAGAGGGAGGCAAUAAGGAAGGCAGAGAAGGAGAGGGAGCGGCGGAGGGAGAUGAUCAAGCAAAGGAAGGCGGAGAAGGAGGCAAAGAGGAAGCAGAUCCCGCAGAACAAGGCGCCCAUUGUGGAGAAGGAGGAGCGCAUUGUGGAGGAGCAUGCUGAUGAGCAGGAAGCAAAAUCCCCAGCGGAGCAGCUUAAAGAGCGGAUGGGUAACCAGCUGGGUUUGUUCGCGGGCCGCCGUAGAGCAUGGGAAUACUCAAGUGGCAGCAAGCCGGGUCAGUGCGGUGGAUUCGAAGAUAAAACUCUAUUGAGUCCUAUGCAGUUUACACAUUGCAUACCCGGUGUCAUCCCGCCGCGUGCCGCUGUUAUUGAGAGCUCCUUGCAGAUCUACUCCUUCAAAGUUACUGGACUAAGUGGCGACCUGAAGUGGCCACUCAAUGUGUAUGGUGUGGUCGCUGCCCGAGACACCGUGGACCACAACCGCAACCUUCUCUUCUCUCGGUCAAGUGUUAUGUAUCAAGUACUUACAUCUGAAAAUGACUGUUCUUUGUGCUUGUCUGGCCCGUCACGUGCUAUUCUAGCCGUGGACCCUGUUGACUUCGAAGUUGAGCUGCGAGUACAUGAUGGCUAUGAUUUUAGAGGUGAUGGGAUCAAUGAUAGAGAAUUGAUCUGUGUUAGCAACCGCUACGAGGUCGCGCCCAGCGGUGAGAUUCAACGUUUAACCUUCUAUAGUCCGUUGUGUAGAGCAGUGUUGAGCCUUGAACAACUUUCUAGUACGGUCCAGGCAACUAUCUUGUCGAUUCGUGUUGUCGGAGAGGGUCAUCCUUUUAAAUCCGGAGGGGAAGUUUUUUGUUGGUCAUCUAGUGCAGAUGGUAGUUCUACUAUAUAUGAGAAGGUUGUGCUCCUUCAUUCUCUUGAAGGAAUUCCUCAAGAAGAUGAUGAGUUAGAUCUAGAUGGUUACCUCCCUCUGUCAAGAAAUGUCGUUUCGGUUGAAUCUGGAGGAGGGUUGAAUGUUGUGGUAGAAACGUACGGGGGAUCUUCUACAUCUACUCAUGUCUACUUCCCUUGUGAGUAUUGCAACAUCAGUCAGCGUACAUGUUUGGUUGGCGGCUCUGAGGUGGAGAUCACUGUUGCUUGGUCCCGACUUGUCCGCGACAAGAUGGACCUUUUGAUUGAUGGAUAUACUACCCAGGCCUAG
rnacentral:rRNA from 1 species